AAAGUGAAUGGCGAUGGAGUUCGCCUAACGCUGUUCAAGCUGAUGACUCCUACCCCUUG
rnacentral:ncRNA from 2 species